GGGAAACAAACCUCACCGGCAGGAACGAGGCUGGCUUGUUCGCACUAGUUCAGCUGACCCAUUAAAAGCAGAUCCUUCAUUAAAUUAACACAUCCUGCUUCUCCCGGCGACGGGCAGCGGCAUCCGCGGCGAAGGAGGAGAAAGGGACGACGGGUUGCGCCCAGAGGGAUGUACUACGGGGAAAUCCUCGCCGCGCCGGUGUAGGGUCGUCGGAGGGAGAGGGUCGCUGGUGACUGGUGAGCUCGCUUCCCUUAGCAGCGGCCCUCGGUAUGUGGUGUUCACAAUUUUCUGAUUUAAUUCGGCAAUCUGAACUAGAAUUAGACCCCUUUUUUUUUGCGGAAACAGAAUUAAACUGUCUAGCUGUGAUGGUGGAUCCCAUGGUAUGGCGACAUUGAGGAUUUCUCUGCAUUUUUAGUGUAUAAACUUGUGAUGAUCUCUUCUAUUAGCAUUGAUGGGGAUAGCAGAGGUAUCACCCAGAGAAACUACUCAACUGAAAGCUGGGGAAAAACGAAGAUAUCCCCUGCAGCACAGCACAUGUUGUAUUUUUUUCAAUUUCGUUUCGGCAUUUAGGGACGUGCACUUGAAUGACGGCACGUCAUUGGUUCUGCAGCAAAAUUUUAGUGGUGAUUGCAUUUAGGAAUGUGCAGAGUUGCAUUUAUCAGUAAACCGAUUAGUGAUCUGGCCCGGCUUUUGUAACCCAGAAAUGUGUGUCUUCCUCAGGUUAACAUCUAUAGCCCGUUUUCACAUGUUGAUGGACAGUGUGCUACACAUGAAACGUCUGAGACUCAAAAGUAGAUUGUGUCUGCCUCUAAGAUGCUGCAUAAACCUUACCGUGCAUCGGACGAUGUCUUGAAGCUUUUUUUUCUAUAUGCAUAAAGAUGCUGCCUAGCUAGAUAUGCUAUUUCUGCUUUCAUUGUAUUAGAACAUAGUGAGAAAAGAAAAACUAAAUAUGCAAGCUAUUCCUUUCAGGAACGGGAUGCAAUGGUGCAGGUCCAGAACUUUCGGAAAAGAAGGUGGCGGUGGCUUCACCACACUAUCUAGUUUGUAUGUGUGCUUUAAGCAUUUUUUAUUUUGUUUUGCCAGAUUAUUAGUAAAUUCGUUUCGGCUGUUUACGAGUGUUCAUGGUAUCAGUUCUCAGUAACUUUGAUGUCUGUCUAUUGUUGACAUUCCAAGCUCUUAACGCUAUUGCUUAGACAACAACCUCUCCAUGCUUACAUGGGAGGAGCUCCCUGAGAGCUUAGCUGGAACACCUCUCUUAUUCUCCCGAAUCCUGAAGUCCAUGAGCCUUAUGGGUUCAGAACAAGAAGCUUAAAUGCAUCGGAAACGCCCUUUAACUCUGACAGCAACAAACACCUUGCAGGCCAUAGCAGUUCAUGCAAAGAAACAUAAUAAUCCAUUAAUUUUCACGCAAUCCACGUUUAUCACAGAUGUCACCAAUUCUAUUAUUAUUACACUUACUGCUCAAUCACGACAAAAUGAAACCAGAGCACAGGUGAUAUGACGAAAGGGUCCAAUCUCACCAUGAUAUUUUCCAUAAGUAGUACUAGCACAUUUCACUUAUAUGCACAAUCUGUUGCACACUUGAGUCUUUCUGGUACAAUCAAAUUGAAUGCAUCACAAUUUCACCCGAGAAGCAGGAUGAAGGGUUACCAAUUAGUGGUAUAUUCGUAAACAGAACAUAGCAAUGUUGUAAACAUUGAGGAUUUAACCUGUAUUUAUAGAAAACACAAGAGGAAUGCUUUAGAGUAAAAAACAUAUUCUCCAGUAGCAUGUUCAAGCUGUAUAGGGAUACAACAUUAGUCAAAAAUACAUUCUUGGGCAGGAGCCAUGAUGUGCCCUUUUGGAUUGGCAACAAUAAUCAAGCUGUAUAGAGAUACAAUAUUAGUCCUGGUUCUCGAGCUCACCCACCUUCAGAAUGGGGUUCCUUGGAUUGUUGGCAAGCUGGGUCCGAAAGUGUUCCUCAAAGUUGCUGGCCUUGAGGAAUACUUCAUCUGGUAUUUCCUUGAGUUGUUCAUCCGGGAUAAUGUUUAACCAUAACCGGGCUUCCUUGAUGCUUGGGAGAAAGUCUAGCCCUGAAAAUGCAACUUCAUUCGCAGAACAACCAUUUUCAGCACUUACCCUCCAGUCAUUCCUGACCUGCAGUUGCUCAAGCUUAGGCAUUGCUCCUUGGUCAAACUUCACCAAUUUGAUGUCCCCAAAGUUUCCAAACACAAGAACUGUGAGGCUUCUGAAAAUCCCAAUCUGGAAACGAAGCUCUUCACCCUGAAACGACUUCUCCAACAAAUGCAGGAUGGCCAGAUUUGGCAUCCUCCCAAGAACUUCCACAUCACCAUCAUGCCCCGAUAGCCUGGUGCUCCGUAAAUUCAGCUUCACAAGAUUCUGGAGCCUCUGGACCCAUCUUGGCAGUUUGAUCAGAUUACCGUACAGCUUGAGGCUCUGGAGGUUUUCCAGGGGCGAGGUCAUCCAGUGCAAACAUUCACAUAAUCCAGGCUCUCCCUCUGACCGUAUUGACAAUGACUCAAGACGGUUGAGAUUAUUGAUUGCUGAACAGAAUUUUUCACCAUUUCUCCCGUUGACGCCAGUUACUGCUAACUUGCGCAACCAGGUCAGUUUUUUUAUGUCCUGAAUGACUGCCCCCCGUGCAACAUUUACAACCCCCAGUGUGUGCAAGCCGAUCAGUUUCCUCAUCCCUCUAGGAGCUAGAACUCCAUACCUGUCCAGACGCUUGGCAACAGCAGGGAGUCUAGCACAGCAAGCAGCAGUACAUAUGUCAUGGCGGUUCAUGUCUUCAGAAUAACCAAAACGACGGGGUGCACAACAAGCUGCACAAAGCAUCACUGACCCUGAAGUCAAUAGACAUAGCCUGUUGUUGCCCAUUGAAUUUGAGAGCUUCUCUUCAAGUUUCUCAUAUGACACCUUUUUGUCAGUCGAUUUCCUACCAAGGCGGAGAUAGGUUAACAUCCGAAGUUUGAUGAUGGUCUUUGGCAGCUUUAGUAUUCUCGUAUCCCUGACAUCUAGUGUCUGGAGUUGCCUCAGGUUACCCAAGGAGUGUGGCAGGUGAUGAAUAUCAUCACAUCCUCUUAUGGAAAAAUAUUUUAGGUGAAGAAGCUUCCCAAUGUGCUGAAGGUGGUGAUCAGCUAGGCCUGGUGUGCCUUCUAGGUCCAGCACUCGUAGCAACCUCAUCUUGUCAGAAAUAAAAAAUGGCUUCCACUUCCCAAAAACUGUUAUUGAUCUCACACGGGACAAGUCCACUAUGCUCUCAAACUGACUUUGAUCUCCCUUCCAAUUUUCGCUUAUAGCAAGGUGCCGAACUGUGGCCCGUCUGCUUAAGCCAUAACCUUCCUCCAGUGUGAAAACAAAAUUUUCUUCAGUUGACUUCUUGAUGCUGAUUUCACGUAUUAGAUCAUGGACCUGGCAUGCAUCAAUUCCUUUUCUACCAUGAAUUGAUUGUUGAGAUGGUAGGAGCAUGCUCCUGCUUACGAGUUCCAUGAAGUCGCCCUCUGCUAUUUCCUCUGCAGACCUGCCACGCACCUCCCUUGAAUAACCCUCUGCAAUCCACCGACGCACCAAACGACGCCGACUGACCUCGCGAUCUUUUGGAAAGAUCGACAUAUACAAGAAACAAGGCUUAAGAUAGUAUGGUAGGCCAUCAAAGCUUUUAUUAAGGACUGUCAUUAUGGGCCCAAGGUCUGGAUUCAGUUCCAACUCAGCACUAAUAUGCUCAUUCAACUUCCUCCAUUCCAAAGGUGUGUUUUGUUGGUUUGCCAAGAAACCACCUAUGGUGACUAUUGCAAGGGGAAGUCCACUGCACUUCUUUAGGAUCAGCUUUGCUUGUUCAACCAACUCUGGAUAUUGAUCAUCCAAAUUUGUAAUCUUGCCAAAUAUCUGAAAUUUUUACAGUUUAAUAUUUUUAGUACACCAAAUAUAAAACUAAACACACAAUAGUCAUCCAAAUUUAUACUUUAGUUUUGUGAUUACAACGGAACACAGACUAUGUGAUUUUAAAGGUGCACACUCCUGUUAUAUUUGUUGGCUCCUUGGACAAGAGAAUUUUCCAAAAUUCAUUUUGCAAAGUAAAUCUGCAACUUGUGCCCUUGGUCCUCUGGCUACAUAUGCAGGCCAAUCAAGUAACUCUAAUACACCCUCCGAUUCAUAUUUCUUGUCACUGCUUUAGUACAACUGUAGUAUAAAGUUGUACUAAAGCAGCGACAAGUAAUAUGGAUAGGAGGGAGUGCAGACUAUUUGGAGCUCAAUUUUUUAUGAACUUCCAACCACAGUUCUGUUUUACUAUUGCAUACAAGACAUCCUCAUCGCCUAAUGAAUAAAAGUUUAAUUAAUAAAUAAACUAAGAAGUACAUGACCUAACAUUCUAGAAGAUGUCCCGUAUCCACAGUUACAUUCUUUCUCGGAAAAAGAGAUGUCUUUGCACCUUUUGGAAAAUUCUGAAACUCUACAGACCAAGUGCCAAGAGAACUUGAACCAAGGUGAUGGGAUUCUACGCACGCUCCCCCGCGCAACCUGAGACAUGCUUUUCUUUUUCGUCUGUCAGCAAUUUCUCUGUGCUCUACAAAGGUACAAGUUCAAGUCAAGAGAACUUGAACCUGUUUAGGAGUAUUAGUUCUAUUACUGUUGGUCUAGGUCUCUUUACGUAUUCGUAUUAGUCUAGAUAUCCUUACUUGUGCUCCAAGUCCCUUACCAUAUAUAGUUGCCCCUUGUGCUAUGCAAUAGAGAUAAGUUGCUUCUCCAGCAUGGUAUUAGAGCCUCAGGUUUAGGGUUUCAUAUUUACUGGACGCCGCAACUUGUCUGUUUUUCCCCAGUUGAGUUCCUCUCUCUGUCGAUUUCAUUCUCAAACCGAUUCCAUCCUCCGGUGAUGCUCUCUACAUGUCAGUGGUUCGCCAGGAGCGUCACAACUAACACUUGCCCACCAACCGAAGCUAGGCAUUUCUUCCUUCCAUUUGGCAGCAGUAUCUCUGUUAUGUAACUCCGAAUUAGAAUAUGCGUAUACAGUGUUAAUGUUUUUUUGGUAUACUAGGAUUAAUCUUUUCUGCUCAAUUUUGUCAUAACAAUGAUAAAAAAAAGUGUUCUUGUAUGUCUGCUAGUGUUUCCUAUCUUUCAUACAAUAAUUAGUGAGCAUUAAUCGAAUGGAUUACCUACUCCCAUCUUUCCCAUCCACAUAUAUUUGUCCCUGUUCCUCUAACCCCACCAAGUUAGAGGAACAACUUGUGAGUGUCUACUGCUGUGGCCACCCAGUCCUUUUUUUCGAGAAGUUUGGUACAAUCCUCCUAGGAGGCAGGUUACAGGGCAAUGACAGAAAAAUUAAUGGACAUCCCAGGUUUGCGGUAAGAUGGCACAUAGGCCCGGAGCCCCAGUUCUGGCCCAUAGAGCAGCCUCGUCCUUGAUCAUGGCUGUUGAAGUGUAUAUGUGGAUUGACUAGCCCUUUUGUUAUGACCGGCAUAUUAGGGGUUUAGCCGAGUGGGUUGUGGCCCAAGUUAUCUUAUCAUUAUUAGGGGCUUAGCCCAAUUAUCUUAUCGUUAUUAGGAUCGUUUGCUUAGGAGUCAAGUAAACCUCUCUAUAUAAGGAGAGGAGAUGUAUCAAUCUAAUCAAGCAAGAAGCAAUCAUUAUUUGCUCGGCUUCCCGAAGGGAGCUGGAAGACCUAACCCUAGCCGCCUCUUGCGCCGCCGCCUCUUCUUCAUCGCGCCACGGCGCCCCGCCGCCGGCAGCCGCGAUCGCAUCUCCGUCAACCCCCCCCCUUCCCGUACAACCUACGCCCUAGACCAGGUAGGAUCCUAGCUCCUACCAAUUUGGUAUCAGGUAGCUCGAUUCCAAUCAUGUCUGCACCACCACCCAACCCGCCGCUGCCCGUCACCACCAUGCCGCUGCCUCUCUCCACUGCGCCGCUGGACUCCACCGCCGGUGCCUCCACCGGCCGGACGCCGCCGCCCUCCACCGCCCCGGCUGUUGCCAUCUACUCCCUGGCGGAGAUGACCGGGGUCCUCAACGACCUCGUCACCGCCGUCCAGGGCAUACGCCUCUACCUGGCCGGGCCCUACGGGCAGCCGCUGCCNNNNNNNNNNNNNNNNNNNNNNNNNNNNNNNNNNNNNNNNNNNNNNNNNNNNNNNNNNNNNNNNNNNNNNNNNNNNNNNNNNNNNNNNNNNNNNNNNNNNNNNNNNNNNNNNNNNNNNNNNNNNNNNNNNNNNNNNNNNNNNNNNNNNNNNNNNNNNNNNNNNNNNNNNNNNNNNNNNNNNNNNNNNNNNNNNNNNNNNNNNNNNNNNNNNNNNNNNNNNNNNNNNNNNNNNNNNNNNNNNNNNNNNNNNNNNNNNNNNNNNNNNNNNNNNNNNNNNNNNNNNNNNNNNNNNNNNNNNNNNNNNNNNNNNNNNNNNNNNNNNNNNNNNNNNNNNNNNNNNNNNNNNNNNNNNNNNNNNNNNNNNCGCGCCUCAAUGGCCACAGUGGCCGGCACCGGCCCUCGCUGCGCCCCCCAUGCCACCCGGGUCCGUACCGCUGCAUCUGCCGGCCCCGCCCCCGCCCAGCACGGGGCCUGGGUCACCCACGCAGGGAGGCGUACCAAUCCAGCAAGUGCGCUUCCCGCCGUCACCGUCCCCAAUACCGGCCUGCCUGACCGGAUCAUCGCCGCCACCCGUCUACACGUCGGCUGGAGACCCGCCGACACCCACUCUGCAGUUCGGCGAUCCCUCCGGCUCGGCGGGGCACUCCGCGGGCCGCAGCCAUGCUGAUUGCGCGCCCCAAUCCUCGCUGCUUCGCACCUCCGAGCUAGUCGGCCACGACGCUCCGACUCAGACACCUCCGCGGUUUGCCAAACUGGACUUCGCCACUUAUGACGGCAUGGAGGACCCCCUCAACUGGCUCAACCAGUGCGAGCAGUUCUUGCGGGCAGCGCACCCUCGCUUAGGAGCAUACCUGGCCCGCCUCUUACCAUCUCCGCGGCGCGGCACAGACCUGGUACUACGCCCUCGAGCAGGACGAGGGCAGCAUGCCCCCUUGGGAGCGCUUCCGCGAGCUCUGCCUCCUUCGUUUUGGGCCACCGAUCCGCGGGAGCCGCUUGGCAGAGCUAGGCCGCCUUCCCUUCACCUCCACGGUUCAGGACUUUGCCGACCGUUUCCAGGCCCUGGCAUGCCACGCGUCAGGCGUGAUGGCGCAGCAGCGGGCCGACCUCUUCGUCGGUGGACUUCUAGAUCACAUUCGCGUGGACAUGGAGCUUCGGGGACCCCAGGAUCUCCAGACGACCAUGUACUACGCCCGCGCGUUCGAGCGCCACGCGGUGGCCAUCGAGCAAGACUCACCGUCCCGGGCCGCUGGAUCGCUACCCUGGCCGGAUGUUCCCAUGCAGGGUCGGCCUGCUUAGGCUUCCACGGCACCCCUCGCCGCGACCACGGCGCGCCCGUUCCGCCGGCUCACCUCGGCCGAGCUACUCGAGCGUCGCCGCCAAGGGUUGUGCUUCAACUGCGACGAGCCCUACACGCCCGGCCACGUCUGCCCGCGACUCUUCUACCUGGAGGCUGCAGACUACAUUCCGGAGGACGCCGUCGCCGCUGACCUGGCUGCCCCAGCUGUCAUGAAGGUGUUUGACGCUGGUUGAUCACCUCGAGGAGUUCAGCAAGCGCUUCCCCACCUUACAGCUCGAGGAUGAGCUGUUUGUGCAGGCGGGGAGAAGUGUUAUGACCGGCAUAUUAGGGGUUUAGCCGAGUGGCCCAAGUUAUCUUAUCAUUAUUAGGGGCUUAGCCCAAUUAUCUUAUCGUUAUUAGGACCGUUUGCUUAGGAGUCAAGUAAACCUCUAUAUAAGGAGAGGAUAUGUAUCAAUCUAAUCAAGCAAGAAGCAAUCAUUAUUUGCUCGGCUUCCCGAAGGGAGCCGGGAGACCUAACCCUAGCCGCCUCUUGCGCCGCCGCCGCCUCUUCUUCAUCGCGCCACAGCGCCCCGCCGCCGGCAGCCACAAUCGCAUCUCCGUCAACCCUCCCCCUUCCCGUACAACCUACGCCCUAGCCCAGGUAGGAUCCUAGCUCCUACCACCUUUCCAUCAGUUCAGACUUUUGGUUGCAUUGGCGAGUGUAUGAAGCUUAGCAUGGUAUUAGAGCCUAAGGUCUUGAGUUCAAGUCCUGACUUUCGCAAUUUAUUCAAAAAUUGUUGCUGCCCCCGUUGUGUCCACGUAUAGGCCUCUUGAGCCAUAUCUCUGAGUCUAUUCAUGUGUUGACUUCCCCUGCGUCACAUGUGAGAGGGGGUGUUAAAGUGUAUAUGUGGAUUGCCUAGCCCUUUCCAUCAGUUCGGACUUUUGGUUGCGUUGGCUAGUGCAUGAAAAGCUUAACACUGGCGACCGGGGUGUUUAUUGAGGGUCGUUCAUCGUCGAAGACGCAAUCGUUGCAGUGCUUUGAAAUCAUCCAGGGGACGAGCAUGGUUGUGGACGCAAGGCCUUUGUGCAUGGGCUUCGGGGUGCUCUGCCUGGCCGAGAGCCACCAAUCAUGGAGUGUGGCGUCAUAGUCGGGCGGCAGGCAAGAGAAGCGCAGACAUGAGAGGAUCGCGUACUACACCUGCCGGUAGAAUGGGCAUCCCAGGAGCAGUGUUGUAUCGUCUCCGGAGCCUGAUCGCAAGGGGGCAGCGUUGCGGGUGUGGCAGGUUGCGGCGUGCGAGGCGGUCGACCAUCCAGCAAUGGUCUAGGUUGGCAAGCCAGUGGAAGAGACGAACAUGUGGCGGCGUCCAGCACUUCCAGUUGAGCCUCCAGGCCUGACAUUGGAUGGAGCCGUGGAAGGUGGCCAGGUAGGCAGAAUUGGUCGAGUAGUCGCCAUUCACGCUCCACUUCCAGCACAGACUGUCUGGCUCGGCAUUGAGAGCAGUGUGCUCAAUCAUGCGCUAGAGGUGCAAGUAUUGGCCUACCUCUUGAAUGCCGAUCAUUCCGUGGAUGUCGGAUGCCCAAUGGUUCUCAUGUAGGCCGGCCUCGACCAUCCUGGUUUUGCGGUGUCGCUUGGGGAUGCAGGCAUACAGGAGCGGCGCGACCUCCCCAGUGGCGUGACCGUUGAUCCAUCGGUCCUCCCAAAAAAGGGCGCGCUGCCCAUUGCCCACCGUUGUGGUGGUAGACGCGAAGAAGAACACGCGUUCCUCGCGCAAGAACUGCAUGUCGAGGCCGCUCCAGCCCUUGCCAUCGUUGACGCGGCUGAGCCAUAGCCAUCGUGCGCAGAGCGAGUCCGGUACGCUCCAGAUCGUGGACACCAAGGCCACCCAGGUGGAUAGGACGGCAAACGCGCCGCCAGUUAACGUGGCAAUUGCCACCGUUGGCCUUGGUGCGGCCCGCCCAGAGGAAUCCGUUCUAUCUUUUCCAAGAGCUUAAGUGUCUUCUUAGGUGGCGCCAACACUAGUAGCUGGUGAAUAGGGAUCGCGCUCAUGACGGAUUUGACAAAGGCGAGGCGGCCCGCCUUGUUCAUAAGCCAAGCCUUCCAGGUGGGCGGCUUCCCGGCGACCUUGUCGACGAAGCAUGCUACUACUCUGGUGAGGCCAAUUAGCGAACCAUAGCCUAAUCCAUGGCAUCCUAUGUUGGAGUGCGAUCAUCUGUGCCAUGGUGGUGUGUUAAUCCUACAGCUGUUAAUCUAAAGGAAGUAAUACUAGCAUAUAAUAUCUCUUUGGGCCAAACUUGCCAACUCUUAGAAUUAGGACUUUGGCAGUGACUAUGGACUGGCAUCAGGUCGGAGUCUAUGGAAACAUUUUAAAAUUUUACUCAUGAAAUGGAAACACUGUUGAAACAUACACAACAUAAAAGUUCUAAGAUGAAAACACUUAUUCUAAGUUGUUCCCAUGUAACAAAAUUGUGAUGUGGAAACACUUUUUUCAUGUGAUGGAGGCACUUUCCUUGUUCAAUUGAAACUCUAUUUUCCUUCCAAAAGCUAAAAUCAGACUACAGAUGUAAAACAUUUCCCUAAUACUUUUGACUGAAGAGAGGACAGUAGUCCAAACAGAUGGCUGACGUGCAUAGGCUGUACCACAUAUGGUUUGGACUUUAACCAAAAUUUGAAUCCGGGGAUGUAACAGCAUGCCUGCCAUCAUCAUCCACCAGGUCCUCGAUGAUAAAACCUAAUCCAACCAUCUUAUUAUUGUUUCUUGCUGGCCCUCUGGCCCUUUGCUGGCCAAUGCCUUCCUUCAAAGUGUAUGGUUGAUCGGGUGGAACCGCCUCAGCCUACACUGAACCCUACCAUUGAUGCCUAGGACAUCAGAAUAUAUGGCUUCUUUUUAUAUUUUCAAUAAAUAUAUCAUGUAACUAAUAGUUAGCACAUGCGUAACAAUCAUCUUUUUUUUUUCUCUGUGACCUGACACAUGUGUACAAACAAACCAUAUGUUAUCAGAACCUACAACCUGCCUUUUUCGGUCAAAUAAAACAAACAAACCAUAUGUUAUUGGUACCUUCUGUGUGAAGAGGUCAAGGGCAUUUUUGUAUACCAGCCCCUGGAGGUUGUAUAUAUUCUUAUGCCUCUUCGAACAAUGCUUCGCAAUAUCCUCUUUUCUUGUGGUGAUUAUGAUCCGGUUUGCUGUGCCUGUUGGAGGAAAAUGUUGUUUUAUAGCGUCCCAUUCCGUGGUGGACGAGAGAUCAUCAAGAACAACCAAGUAUUUCCUUCCUUCCAAAUACUGGUACAUGUUUUCCACAUCCUUUUCUCCAAACUGUCUAGAUAAGCUCUCAAUGAGCUUUCCCCGAUUGAAAGGAUGCAUUAUUGUGACAAAAGCAGACUUCUCAAACAUGCCACUGAGCUCUUGGCUUUCAUAGACAUCUCUGAUUAGUGUUGUUUUCCCAAGACCACCCAUUCCGCACACAGAGACCACCUCAAGGUGUUGGCUAUCACCAUUUGUAAUUAUUUCAAUAGUAUCAGAUUUUUCUUGGUCACGUCCGAUGGGCUCAGAUUCCUUCAAAACAACUAAGCUCUUCCUGUACAGAGAGUUAUUAUUAUACAUACAGGAUAUAUUUGAGCUAGAUCCUGUUUCCACCAGAUCUGCUGCAUCUUGAAAACUCUAGACAUAAGAAAACAAUGAUUAGGCGCUGCUUUAUUUUUUCACUGGACAAUCUUUAGUCAAGUGCUAAAACUUUCAUAAGUUUAUGUAAUCUUCAAAACUGAACAUGUAAACAAUAUGAAACAUGUCUAAUUGCGUAACCAUGUGGGGUAACAUCGCCUCUAAAAACUUUAAAUCUCCUUUAGGAGUAGUGUCCAGGGUAGUUAAUUAUCCGGCCUAGCAAUUACCGAGGUUCACUAUCCCCUAAACUAGUUGAUGUGAAUGAAGAUCAUGUUAGCACAUAAAGUUCUUGAUGGCCCUUCUUGUAAUUCAUGUAAACAAAAACGUGGUAGGAAUUGUAUUCUCCAGAUUAAAAUAAUAAUGCAAGGCUAUUCAAUUUAAUUAAGUGUCUACGGUUGUGGAUUCAGAAUAUUUGAGAUAUUUUGCAUUUUACAAUUUGGAGCCAAAAUUAGGGAAAUUAAAAUCAAUGCACAAGUAUGAUUUGGCCUGGGUGAAUUAAAUAACGUAAGCUCAUGGUCCUUAAAUGGAAUAUCAAUGAAAUGUUACCCGCGAAUGUAUAGAUAUAUGGACUUAUUGAUCUAUAUAAAAAUUGAAAUAUCAAAUGUAAAGACUACUACUCCCUCUGUUCACUAUUAUAAGAUGUUCUAGCUUUUUUUCUAAAUCGAAUGUAUGUAGACGCAUUUUAGUGUGUUUGGUCACUCAUUUCAAUCCGUAUGUAGUCUAUAUUGAAACAGCCAAAACAUCUUAUAAUACUGACCGGAGAGGAAGUACUUUACUAGAUUUGGCAACCUAUUGAUUGCUUCACGUUAUUGAUGGUGUUCUUUGUUACAUUGGUUCAUGUGUACUUAGUUCAGCAAGCCAACAAGAGGUAGCAUUAGUAAGAUGAUAUUCGGCAAAUC
rnacentral:lncRNA from 1 species